GACGAACGCUGGCGGCGGGCCUAACACAUGCAAGUCGAACGAGUGGCGGACGGGUGAGUAAUGUCUGGGAAACUGCCUGAUGGAGGGGGAUAACUACUGGAAACGGUAGCUAAUACCGCAUACCAUCAGAUGUGCCCAGAUGGGCUUGGCUUGUUGGUGGGGUCACGGCUCACCAAGGCGACGCUCCCUAGCUGGUCUGAGAGGAUGACCAGCCACACGGGAACUGAGACACGGUCCAGACUCCUACGGGAGGCAGCAGUGGGGAAUAUGGCACAAUGGGCGCAAGCCUGAGGCAGCAAUGCCGCGUGUAUGAAGAAGGCCUUCGGGUUGUAAAGUACUUUCAGGGGGGAGGCGGUACCCGCAGAAGAAGCACCGGCUAACUCCGUGCCAGCAGCCGCGGUAAUUC
rnacentral:rRNA from 1 species